CGUUCCUAUUUUGGGCGAACGUGAACUGAAACGUACUGUAUUACUGCCUGAUGAACGUUACUGUGAACUUGUUCAUUCUGGUGUCUGUGAACGGCACACUCACUCGGUUUAACUUCGUUCAAUAUGGGGAUUAUUUGUUUAUCAACACGGCGGAUGCAAGCGCAGAAUGAUCGCCAAAAUAAUGUUUUUGACCAGUUGCCAUGGUUAUUUCCAUUUACAAAAUGUGCUAAAAGUGCAAUAAAACACGAAAUACACUGUAUUUCGCUACGAUACUUGAUUCAACCACUCUAUUUCCUCCUAGACAAACCAGAAAGGGGGCUCAAUGUUCAAAAUAACGGAAAAAAAUAAUGGCUCACAGCAACAUAUUGAAAAAAAGAACUAUGAACUUAUCAUUUUUGGAACUGUGAACUGAACUUUGAACUAGUUCACGUAGAAAGUGAACAUUCCCAACACUGGUUGUAGGCGCUAUGGUUCUUUGCAGUCAAUAGGUGGCCAUCUUGGUUCUAAAGGUGCUAGCCAUCAUGGUUCUAAACACUAAUAUUCAGAUAUUAAAAUGGCUCACACUGACACCCAUUUCAUUCACAGUAGAUAGACAGACACUACCAGAAAUACAGUACGUAUGUUUGCUUUUUUUCUCCCCUUGAUACAUUUUAUGUUUAAAAUGUUAAAUUACUUUCAAUGCCACAAUUUCUAUUGAUUAAGAAAAUGCAAAACGUAGUUGAAGGUAGGAAGUUAUAGGACAAAAGCUGUGGUUCUUUGUAGUCAAUGGGCGGCCAUCUUGGUUCUCUAAGCAGCAGCCAUCUUGGUUCUAAAGGCUGGCUGGGUGUGAAAAUUGAAU